AUCUAGCCAUGGGCAGGUUGAAGGUUGAGUAACAUCAACUGGAGGACCGAACCCACUAACGUUGCAAAGUUAGGGGAUGACCUGUGGCUGGGGGUGAAAGGCCAAUCAAACUCGGAGAUAGCUGGUUCUCCCCGAAAGCUAUUUAGGUAGCGCCUCGGACGAAUACUACUGGGGGUAGAGCACUGUUUGGGCUAGGGGGUCAUCCCGACUUACCAACCCCAUGCAAACUCCGAAUACCAGUAAGUAAUAUCCGGGAGACACACGGCGGGUGCUAACGUCCGUCGUGAAGAGGGAAACAACCCAGACCGCCGGCUAAGGUCCCAAAGUUCUGGUUAAGUGGGAAACGAUGUGGGAAGGCUCAGACAGCUAGGAUGUUGGCUUAGAAGCAGCCAUCAUUUAAAGAAAGCGUAAUAGCUCACUAGUCGAGUCGGCCUGCGCGGAAGAUGUAAC
rnacentral:rRNA from 1 species